GAGAGUGCCAACGCGGACUGAUCUGCUGUUCACACAGCUGAGGAGGUGUCGCGAGAAGCUUUCAAGAAACUGAGCAGCAGUAUGAACCUCCUGAGGUCACUAGCUUCCCUGUGCCUGCUGGCGGCUGCCUUCUGUGUCCCCGCUCAGGAGAAGCGUGUCCAUCACCAGGCUGAUCUGAGCGACCGCGCCCACGAUGAUUCUCACGGCUUCAAGUAUGACCACGAGGCCUUCCUGGGAAAGGAGGAGGCCAAGACCUUUGACCAGCUGACGCCUGAGGAGAGCAAAGACAAGCUAGCGAAGAUUGUGGACCGGAUUGACACCGACAAGGACAGCUACAUCAGCCAUGCAGAGCUGCACUACUGGAUCAAACACCGGCAGAGGAGGUACAUCGAGGAGAAUGUGAACAAACACUGGAAGGACUAUGACCAGAACCAAGAUGGAAAGAUCGGCUGGGAGGAGUACAAGAACACCACCUAUGGCUUCUACCUGAAUGAGGAGUUUGAUGACGUGGAGGACAAAGCCACCUAUAAGUCCAUGAUGAUGCGGGAUGAAAGACGCUUCAGGACGGCCGAUCGAGAUGGGGACGGUAUCGCCACCCGGGAGGAGUUCACUGCCUUCCUGCACCCAGAGGAGUUCGAGUACAUGAGAGACGUGGUGGUGCAGGAAACCGUGGAUGACAUCGAUAAGAACAGAGAUGGAAAGAUCAACAUAGAUGAGUACAUUGGGGACAUGUUCUCUCCAGAGAGCGGGGAGAGCGAGCCCGACUGGGUGCAGACCGAGAGGAAACACUUCUCUGAGUUCAGAGACGCCAACAAGGAUGGAUACCUGGAUAAUGCUGAGGUGGCACACUGGGUUCUGCCCGGAGAGGUGGACCACGCAGACAACGAGGCCAAACACUUGAUCCACGAGACGGACACCGACAAGGACCAGAAAAUAACCAAGAAGGAGAUUCUAGCAAACUGGAACAUGUUUGUGGGCAGCCAGGCCACCAAUUACGGCGAAGACUUAACGAAGAGACACGACGAACUCUGAGUCAGCACACGCUCAUCAGCUCAACGUUCUGUAACGAGCAGGAGUCAGUUACUGUGGCUUUGGGGUGGGGGUGGGACUUAGCAAGGCUCUGGGUUAUGAUCAUGUUGCCAUUUUCACACGUGCACACACACUCAGCAUGCUCUCACAUACUGUGUAUGUGACUACAGGUGAUACUGAUGACUACACACUGUUCACCUCCACACUGCAGCACAUCCUCUUAGAUCAUAUUAUCCUGCUGUCCAGGAAAAGUGAGACAGCUGGAUAACAUCUGACAGGAACUGGCAUCCAGCUAACACCAUGCUAGGCUAUGAAGGUUGCUCUCCACCAGAAAGCGUACAGAGCCCUAUCUGAGGUAGACGUGCCUAUGGGAACUUUGAGAACAUGUGAUGUUAAAGUGUAUGAAAUGCACAUUUGGAAGAGGGGUAAAAAAGGACGGCCUGCUGACUCUCUCUGAGCUGCUGGACAACAGGGACUACAUCAUAACCAGCACCAUCACCGACUUUGGAGGCAUGAGGGUGGAUGAGCAUGAUGAGCUGUGAAGAACAGGAGAAAUGUUUGACGGUAUUCUGCCAACAGGUCUAGUUUUUACAAAAAGACGGCCCCAGCUCAGUGAAUUUUACCGCUGAUCGCCAUACAAAGAAUCUACAAGCAGCCAUUGUUUAUUUGUAUAUGUUUACGGUCAAAUUAAACGACUUGAAACUC